CGAAAGCCUGACGGAGCAAUACCGCGUGAGGGAGGAAGGCUCUUGGGUCGUAAACCUCUUUUCUCAGGGAAGAACACAAUGACGGUACCUGAUGAAUAAGCAUCGGCUAACUCCGUGCCAGCAGCCGCGGUAAUACGGAGGAUGCAAGCGUUAUCCGGAAUGAUUGGGCGUAAAGGGUCCGCAGGUGGCAUUGUAAGUCUGCUGUUAAAGAGUCACGCCCAACGUGAUAAAAGCAGUGGAAACUACAAAGCUAGAGUAUGGUCGGGGCAGAAGGAAUUCCUGGUGUAGCGGUGAAAUGCGUAGAGAUCAGGAAGAACACCGGUGGCGAAGGCGCUCUGCUAGGCCGUAACUGACACUGAGGGACGAAAGCUAGGGGAGCG
rnacentral:rRNA from 1 species